UGCCGCCGCGGAGGCCCGGGGCCGUCAGCCCGAAGUGCUUCAGCGGGCUGUACACCGUCAUGCCCGCGCACAGCAGCAGCGCCGCCUGCUCCGGCGCCAGACCUGCAGGGAUCGGCACCACGAACCUGCACGCCAAUGAAGGAAGAAUUGCCCAGAUAUGUUGAUUGAGGUUUCCAUUUCAAAUUAUGCCGAGUACCAGGGGAAAUAUGCUAUUAUCUAUGUGUAUUGAUGCAAUUUCAUUCAUCUCCUACGUUGCCUUAAAGGAUUAUACAAAACUUUCACGUGUUCUUUGCAGAUCGAGAUAAGAGGCGUUGAUUGUUCCAGUUGCUCUCUAAGGAAAUUGAUUUAUCUAAAAAGCAUGCUUGCCUGCUGACCAGCGUUACCAUCAUUAAGAACACCUAUUGUUCAUUGCAUUAUCAUAUUCUGGGGACUGCUCAUCACAUCUCCAAUAAUGAUUCCUCAUCUGCUAUACAGUUAUCCAUCCAUGAUUUGGUGAUCAAAAUUAGACCAACUGGGAUGCUCAUUCUCAAGUGGGGACCAUACCAAUUGCCCAAUACCUCUCUUCACACAGCAAUGUCUUUUAAACAUUGGUAUCAGGGAAGUGCUAUACUUUUAGCAUAUUGAUAUAAUGUGUUCUGACAACUGAUUUUGUUUCUUGAGGUUUUCCCCUUUCCUACUUCAGACCUUUUAGCAUGAUUCGGCAAUACAUGUCCCUUUCUUAAAAUUAGGUGCCGUAAAAAAACUCUCACUGAGGCAUCUUUUUACAUCAGAUUACUCAUUUCUUAUGUAUAAUUCUAUUUUUAUGUUCUCUAUUUAUGGAUAUCCUGUAAUUUGUUGGACUGAAAGGUAUAUCGGUCAUAAA